rnacentral:rRNA from 1 species
UACAGAGGGUGCGAGCGUUAAUCGGAAUCACUGGGCGUAAAGCGCACGUAGGCGGAUAUUUAAGUCGGGUGUGAAAGCCCUCGGCUCAACCGAGGAAGUGCGCCCGAAACUGCAGAGCUUGAGUACCGGAGAGGAUGGCGGAAUUCCCCAAGUAGAGGUGAAAUUCGUAGAUAUGGGGAGGAACACCGGUGGCGAAGGCGGCCAUCUGGACGGAUACUGACGCUGAGACGCGAAAGCGUGGGUAGCAAACAGG